UUUAAGUUCCGGAUACAACAUUUUAACUCUUCGUCUUAUUUAAAAAUUUUCUAUGGUUAGUAUUUUUAUUAUUAUUAGAUGAAAAACAUGAAUAGUACUUUACGUAUGACUAAUCUUUUAAUUUUUUUUCAUAAAUCUUUUAGAUAAGACAAACGGUCAAAUGUUGGACAUAGAAAUCCAAAAUUGGAUUAUUU
rnacentral:pre_miRNA from 1 species